rnacentral:sRNA from 13 species
UUUUGAAGCAAGUUAUGCGCCUUUGAAGUUGGAGGCGAGAGACGCAGAGAAGCUAGACUCUCUACGCGCCUGCCGUCUCUCACUCUCUCACCUCCAACUUUGAAGGCGCAUAACUCGCUUCAAAA